UACGGGGGGAGCAAGCGUUGUUCGGAUUUACUGGGCGUAAAGGGCGCGUAGGCGGCGUGACAAGUCACUUGUGAAAUCUCCGGGCUUAACUCGGAACGGUCAAGUGAUACUGUCGUGCUAGAGUACAGAAGGGGCAACUGGAAUUCUCGGUGUAGCGGUGAAAUGCGUAGAUAUCGAGAGGAACACCUGCGGCGAAGGCGGGUUGCUGGGCUGAUACUGACGCUGAGGCGCGAAGGCCAGGGGAGCGAACGGG
rnacentral:rRNA from 1 species